UACGUAGGGACCAAGCGUUGUUCGGAUUUACUGGGCGUAAAGGGCGCGUAGGCGGCAAUUCAAGUCAGCUGUGAAAUCUCCGAGCUUAACUCGGAACGGUCAGCUGAUACUGCUUUGCUAGAGUGCAGAAAGGGCAAUCGGAAUUCUUGGUGUAGCGGUGAAAUGCGUAGAUAUCAAGAGGAACACCUGAGGCGAAGGCGGGUUGCUAGGCUGACACUGACGCUGAGGCGCGAAAGCGUGGGGAGCGAACAGG
rnacentral:rRNA from 1 species